rnacentral:tRNA from 1 species
AGCGGCGUAGCUCAGUUGGCAGAGCAAGGGAUUCAUAAGCCCUGGGUCGUCGGUUCAAGUCCGACCGCCGCUA